AAGGAAGCAUCGGCAACAACAAUUCAUAUGAUUCAGAACAGCCUAGCCAGGACGUCAAAUUAUCAACUUGUAUAAAAAGUACUACUGUGGUGCCACCUACGACAUAACAAAGAUGCUAUCUACAAAAUCGAUGUUGACCAUACUUGUGGUUUUGGCAUUAUUUUAUAGUGCGAUGGCUUGUGACGGAUUUGAUCGUCCAUGUACUGGACCUAAUGGUCAACAAGGCAGUUGUUGUAAGGGAAUGCAUUGUCAGAAGAAUAACCCCUCUUGGGCAAAAGGACGCUGUUACUAUAACCCUGGAAAGUAACUGCUAAAUAUGCACUACUAACACAUACUAAAAUGAUUAAUAAAUCAUUGAAGAAAAUGAAAAAUUACUAAAUAAAG